UCAAAAUGUCAAUGAUAACAUAGACGAUGAUAACAAAGAAUGGAAAAGAAACGAAAAUGCAGAAGGAAAUUAUAAGAACAGAGACAGAAAAAACUAUAAAAAGGGCAUUUUCAAAGUUGGAGCGAUAGUUGGUAUAUCAGUAGGAAUAACAGGCACAAUCAUAUUAUUUCUGAUCAUACUGGCUAUUAUUUAUGUAUGCAGACGAAGGUAAA